rnacentral:lncRNA from 1 species
UUGCCAAGGCCGUUCUGAGAUCAUGGCCUCUUCUCAACUCUCAAGUUCUUAUGCACCGAGUAAUAUAUAGUAAUAUCUAAGUGAGAGUACAUAGGAAGAGGGAGUUCAUGCUCGAAAAGGUAGGGUUCAAACUAGUGCUAUACGUUAUUAUUAUUAUAUAGUAUGGAAGAUCAAAAAUUAGUUUUUUUAAAAAUUGUUUUCUAUAAUUCCUCUUCCAAAUUAACCUGUUUGAAAUAUGACCAGACAUUAAAUAUGAAUUUUUUUAACUAAAAAUUUUAAUUUUAAUUUGUCAUAAUGUAAGUAACUAGUUUUUUCUGUUAAAUGCCACCUGGUUGGUAUCAAAAUAGUUAGCUAAUUAGUAAAAAAAUAUAGACCAAUUGAAUCUGUUUAGCUACGUAUCAAUUUCUCACAGUUUAAUAUGAUAGUCAGUUUGAAGUGCUAUACGUGGGGGCCAUUUCGAAUAUAUUUAUUAGUUAGGUUACUUAUCAAAAGAAAAGGGAAAAAUAUAGUGGGAAUUUGGUGGUCUCAAAGCUGACCAUAUAUAUAAUUAAUAUGUGCUGUAAAAUAAUUCGGAAAUAGUAAAACAUUUUAUUGUUUAUUUCUUUUUCUAUUUGGAUGUUAUAGGGUAAAUUUUAUAUUGUUUUGAUUCGAGCAUAUAGUUUUUAUAGUAUUAAUUUGUAUGGAGAUUGAUUCAAUAUUUGUAAGAAUGACUUAUUAUAUAUAUAUAUAUAUAUAUAUAUAUAUAUAUAUAUAUAUAUAUAUAUAUAUAAAAUAAGGUAACAACUUUUUUUAUCAACAACAAAAUAUUAUUAUUAGAGUAUAAGGAGUAGUGUAACACAACAUAUAAAUAUAUAUGUUGGUGACAUGAGCAAAAUCAUUUAUUAAUAUUAAAAUUAACAAAUACAAUUUCCCUUUCUAUGAGAAAUCACGAGCUCUAGACAAUAGAGUUUUAUUAUGAACCGAAAUUUCCAUUUAUGAGACUGCUAGGAAACGUACAAGCUAGUUCAGUUACAUUUAUAACAAGAGACACAUUUUUAUGAAAUAUGAAGGGCACCCUCACAAUUACAACAUACAACUUAUUAUUCAUAUGCGCCCCCUUAGAACCACCACACUAUGACUAUACCACCCCCUUCAUCUCAAAUACUAUACAACAAUAAGAAACCCUAAAGGGAUAUAUAUAUAUAUAACUCGUUAAUUAACAAAUAGUAGGAAUUUCAUUUCAUACUUAACCAAGGAUGAAAUUAAAAUCAUAUAUUAUAUAUUGUCACCUCUGUGAUAACCAUCCCCAAGCGGAUCAUUGUUCCAAGGAGAAGGGUAAUAGUAACCAGGAGAUUGACCAAGAGAGGAACCACCAUCACCAUCCCCUUCACCAAUAAUUCUUCUACCAUCUUGAGUGGUUGGCAUUUCAUUGCAGGUAUAACGGAUCAAAUCAGCAUUUGUGGCAUCAAGUUCCUUCUGGAGCCUAAUCACUUGCCUUUGGAGCACUGAGAUUGCCCCAACACAGCCAUAAAC